rnacentral:tRNA from 1 species
GGGCUCAUGGUAAAGUGGUAUCACGCGACUAUGGCAUAGUCGAGUCCCGGGUUCGAUUCCCGGUGAGUCCA